UACGGGGGGAGCAAGCGUUGUUCGGAUUUACUGGGCGUAAAGGGCGCGUAGGCGGUCAGCACAAGUCAGUUGUGAAAUCUCCGGGCUUAACUCGGAAAGGUCAACUGAUACUGUGCGACUAGAGUGCAGAAGGGGCAACUGGAAUUCUCGGUGUAGCGGUGAAAUGCGUAGAUAUCAGGAGGAACACCUGCGGUGUAGACGGCUUACUGGACCAUAACUGACGCUGAGGCACGAAAGCGUGGGUAGCAAACAGG
rnacentral:rRNA from 1 species